rnacentral:rRNA from 1 species
UACGUAGGGUGCGAGCGUUGCCCGGAUUUACUGGGCGUAAAGGGCGCGUAGGCGGCCUGUUAAGUCGAACGUGAAAUCCCCGGGCUCAACCCGGGAACUGCGUCCGAUACUGGCAGGCUUGAAUCCGGGAGAGGGAUGCGGAAUUCCAGGUGUAGCGGUGAAAUGCGUAGAUAUGCGGAGGAACACCGAUGGCGAAGGCAAUCCCCUGGGCCUGCACUGACGCUCAUGCACGAAAGCGUGGGGAGCAAACAGG